UUUUUUUUUCAUGUUUGUCCUCUCUUGCUGUUGCAAGGAAUUUU
rnacentral:sRNA from 1 species